UACGUAGGUGGCAAGCGUUAUCCGGAAUUAUUGGGCGUAAAGCGCGCGCAGGUGGUUUCUUAAGUCUGAUGUGAAAGCCCACGGCUCAACCGUGGAGGGUCAUUGGAAACUGGGAGACUUGAGUGCAGAAGAGGAAAGUGGAAUUCCAUGUGUAGCGGUGAAAUGCGUAGAGAAUAUGGAGGAACACCAGUGGCGAAGGCGAGUCCCUGGAAAAUACCUGACACUGAGGCACGAAAGCUAGGGGAGCAAACAGG
rnacentral:rRNA from 1 species